AGUGAACGCUGGCGGUAGGCCUAACACAUGCAAGUCGAACGGCAGCACAGUAAGAGCUUGCUCUUACGGGUGGCGAGUGGCGGACGGGUGAGGAAUACAUCGGAAUCUACUUUUUCGUGGGGGAUAACGUAGGGAAACUUACGCUAAUACCGCAUACGACCUACGGGUGAAAGCAGGGGAUCUUCGGACCUUGCGCGAUUGAAUGAGCCGAUGUCGGAUUAGCUAGUUGGCGGGGUAAAGGCCCACCAAGGCGACGAUCCGUAGCUGGUCUGAGAGGAUGGGGAGGAAGAUGGGGAGAGAGGCAGGGACCGGACUCUGGAGGGAGGAGGCAGAGGGGAAUAUGGGGCGAGGGGCGAGAGGGGGAACUGUCAAAACGGGGGGAGUGAGAAAGGAGUUAGGGUUGGGAAACCCUUUAGUUGGGAAGAAAAAACAAGAGGUGAAAACGACGAGGUAGUGACGGUACACAAAGAAUAAGCACCGGCUAACUUCGUG
rnacentral:rRNA from 1 species